rnacentral:rRNA from 1 species
UACGUAGGAGGCAAGCGUUGUCCGGAGUUACUGGGCGUAAAGCGCACGCAGGCGGUCUUGUCAGUCUGUUGGGACAGGGCACAGCUCAACUGUGUCAGGCUUAUGGAAACUGCAAGACUUGAGGGCUUCAGAGGGAUGGGGAAUUCCGGGUGGAGUGGUGAAAUGCGUAGAGAUCCGGAAGAACACCAAAGGCGAAGGCACCAUCCUGGGGAGUCACUGACGCUCGGGUGCGAAAGCUAGGGGAGCGAACGGG